CUUGACCUCAAAUCGGGUGAGACUACCCGCUGAACUUAAGCAUAUCAAUAAGCGGAGGAAAAGAAACUAACAAGGAUUCCCCUAGUAACUGCGAGUGAAGCGGGAAAAGCUCAAAUUUAAAAUCUGGUGGCCUUUGGUCAUCCGAGUUGUAAUUUAGAGAAGCGUCUUCCGCGCUGAACCGUGCACAAGUCUCCUGGAAUGGAGCGUCAUAGAGGGUGAGAAUCCCGUCUUUGGCACGGAACAUCAGGGCUUCUGUGAUGCGCUCUCGACGAGUCGAGUUGUUUGGGAAUGCAGCUCAAAAUGGGUGGUGAACUCCAUCUAAAGCUAAAUAUUGGCGAGAGACCGAUAGCGAACAAGUACCGUGAGGGAAAGAUGAAAAGCACUUUGGAAAGAGAGUGAAACAGUACGUGAAAUUGUUGAAAGGGAAACGCUUGAAGUCAGUCGCGUCGACCGAGACUCAGCCUUGCCUCGGCUUGGUGUACUUCUCGGCUUGACGGGUCAGCAUCAAUUUUGAUCCUCGGAUAAUGGCAAGGGAAAGGUAGCACCUUUUUAGGUGUGUUAUAGUCCUUUGUCGCAUACGGGGGUUGGGAUUGAGGAACUCAGCACGCACCUUUAGGUGUCGGGGCCUNGGCCCACGAUACGUGCUUAGGAUGCUGGCGUAAUGGCUUUAAACGACCCGUCUUGAAACACGGACCAAGGAGUCUAACAUACCCGCGAGUGUUCGGGUGGAAAACCCGUGCGCGUAAUGAAAGUGAAAGUUGGGACCUCUGUCGUGGAGGGCACCGACGCCCGGACCAGACCUUCUGUGACGGCUCUGCGGUAGAGCGUGUAUGUUGGGACCCGAAAGAUGGUGAACUAUGCCUGAAUAGGGUGAAGCCAGAGGAAACUCUGGUGGAGGCUCGUAGCGAUUCUGACGUGCAAAUCGAUCGUCAAAUUUGGGUAUAGGGGCGAAAGACUAAUCGAACCAUC
rnacentral:rRNA from 1 species